GACGUAGGGUGCAAGCGUUGUCCGGAUUUAUUGGGCGUAAAGAGCUCGUAGGCGGUUUGUCGCGUCGACUGUGAAAACCCGAGGCUUAACCUCGGGCCUGCAGUCGAUACGGGCAGACUAGAGUUCGGUAGGGGAGACUGGAAUUCCUGGUGUAGCGGUGAAAUGCGCAGAUAUCAGGAGGAACACCAAUUGCGAAGGCAGCUCGCUGGGACGUUACUGACGCUGAGACGCGAAAGCGUGGGGAGC
rnacentral:rRNA from 1 species